GUAGUUGUGGCCAAGUGGUUAAGGUGAUGGACUAGAAAUCCAUUGGAGUUGCUCCAUGCAGGUUUGAAUCCAGCCAGCUAUG